CCUACGGGAGGCUGCAGUGAGGAAUAUUGGUCAAUGGACGAGAGUCUGAACCAGCCAAGUAGCGUGAAGGAUGACUGCCCUAGGGGUUGUAAACUUCUUUUAUAUGGGAAUAAAAUGUUCCACGUGUGGGAUUUUGUAUGUACCAUAUGAAUAAGGAUCGGCUAACUCCGUGCCAGCAGCCGCGGUAAUACGGAGGAUCCGAGAGUUAUCCGGAUUUAAUGGGUUUAAAGGGAGCGAGGUGGAUUGUUAAGUUAGUGGUGAAAGUUUGCGGCUCAAACGUAAAAUUGCAAUUGAAACUGGCAGUCUUGAGUAAAGUAGAGGUGGGCGGAAUUCGUGGUGUAGCGGUGAAAUGCUUAGAUAUCACGAAGAACUCCGAUUGCGAAGGCAGCUCACUGGACUGCAACUGACACUGAGGCUCGAAAGUGUGGGUAUCAAACAGGAUUAGAUACCCGAGUAGUC
rnacentral:rRNA from 1 species